AGUUUGUCAAACGCCGAUGCUUGGUGAGUGAUUAUCUUCGUAUAAAUGGAUUUCUAAUCGCUUUGUGUUUUUAGUUCGAUCUCGAAAAAAGAAAUUAUGAUGGAUUGGUUAGUAUCAUUACUAGUGAAGUGAAGUCGUCUGGAGCGAGUUAUCAAAAAGUCGACAUUCAAUCGGCUUGAUGGACUAGUUUUAGACCAGGAAGCUCGAGGAUUGGCUUCAUUCCUUACGGGAGCUACAUCCUGGUCCGUUCGCGAAUUACCUGAGUAUUGGGAUUCGUCUUCAACAACAUGGCCUCUGACACCUAGCGAAGUGCGGACAAUUCUUGCGUUAAGGCUGGACUUCAAAAUAGAUGACAUAAAAAGUUGAAAAUUUAAACGAGGAAUGUAUUUCUGGGAACGUUAUGAAAGUGAUAAAUGC